GCAAAGACGAAGGAAUCGAAGGUCAAGGUGAUAGAAUGCUGACGAUCUGUGGACUUGCGGUUGAAUAAUGAAGCAGUGGAGGAUGUAAUAUUGACGCUUGCGUCCACCAGGAGAGUGAAGUCCAUGCGCGGGGAUUGCAACAACUUCUGCAUUUGGCGAUUCAAAAGUUUUUAGCAGAGCCUCGACGAUUCAAUGAACGCCUUCACAAACAUUUGAAAUGGGUUUUGUUCAAAUUGCUAAGUUUGUAGGUGCUUGCGGUUGCACGAAAGUUUGCAAGAGUGUGCCAAAAUUUCCAAGCAACGUUGAUAAGAGACAACAAAUUCAAAUGCUCGGAAUUUGUGGGGCGGAAAUUAGGGUUUCCCCUGUAGAUGUCAAGUUACUAAGCUCAAAAGAUAAUAGAAAUAGGCGUGAUUUUUUUAUUCAAAAUUUAAAAUUUCAACAAUAAAUAAAUUGAAAGGAAUAAAAUAAAAACAACUAGCUCCGAUUUGAGGGUAUAAA
rnacentral:lncRNA from 1 species